AUGUGAGAGCUGGUGAGCAUUGGGGCAACGUUUUGAGUUGGCCUUUGUGCUGACUUAUGGUGUCUUUUGGCUUGAUGUUGAAGGCCUCGUAAGCUUCCUCCCGAGUGGGGACUUCGAUUUGGUGAUGCCAUAUCGGGGUAACUGCGACAACGUCUUGAUCUAGAUCAAGGCGGGGAUCGUGUUUUACAUAAUCCUCCUAGGAUGGUGCGGAAAGCUGGAUGGCAAAUGGGCAAGGCAUGUUGCAAUCUUUUUAUAAGAUUCAUGUGUGUCUUUUGCCCAACCGUCAAAAGGUGAUCUUAGGCUGCCAUUCGAGUGGUACCUGAUUUUAUUUGUGGUGAGGCCACAUCGGGAAAACUGCAAAAACGUGAUGAUCUACUCGUUUGUUGAUGCAAUCUUGUCGAAAGGCUAGUUGAUUGUUGAGAGCGUCUUUAGAUCAGAUCGGUGAUGGUUAUUACUUGAUUAUGAUCAUGCUAGCCAUGAUCAACCUAGGAUCGCUAACUGCUGUAUGGCUUGGAUGAGGGUAAGAGACUCAACGUGUGGCCUUUUGUAGGAUUGACGUGUGUCUCUUUUCUGACCAUCAUACAGCGAUCGUAAGACGCAUUCUGGGUGGAGAGUUUUGUUCAAAUUGGUUCUCUUUUCGUAUCGUGCGGUACAUUUUGGGGUUGUAUUUGGGUUUUGGUUGUUUGCUUGGCUCUUUAGUCUUGCAGGUGGCUGUUUCCCAUGGUGGCUUCGGGAAUGUCUAUCGUAAAGGUGCAUGAGUGGUGUUUGGUUUGAUACGGGUGGUUGGCUCCCUGCUUGAGCAGGCACGGCCACACGUACAUUCCUUUUCAGUUGUGCGGCAAGGCUUGUGUUGUCUUGAUCGUAUAUGUGGGUUUCCUGUGUUGCAUACCUGAUCAAUGGCAUCGUUUUGAUCAAAAACAUACCUUUUUCGUCARGCGUUGCACCYGCAACGUCAGAUGAACCACGUAGCAUCCUCUUUGAUCCAUAUAGUCGAUGAGCAUUCGUUGAUUGUUUGGCCCGUUGAGGGUGGCUUGGUCUCUUGGAUAUGGAAGCCAAAGUGGGCAUGGGUUCGUAUGAUCCUUUUAUUGCCCUUGUUGAGCGUUCUCGCUUCUCUUGAACGACCGCCUCUCACGUAUGGCACGUCCCAGCGUGUUUGGCUAUGUCGUAGAGGAAUGC
rnacentral:misc_RNA from 1 species